UGGGGAAUAUUGGACAAUGGGCGAAAGCCUGAUCCAGCCAUGCCGCGUGUGUGAAGAAGGUCUUCGGAUUGUAAAGCACUUUAAGUUGGGAGGAAGGGCAGUAAGCGAAUACCUUGCUGUUUUGACGUUACCGACAGAAUAAGCACCGGCUAACUCUGUGCCAGCAGCCGCGGUAAUACAGAGGGUGCAAGCGUUAAUCGGAAUUACUGGGCCUAAAGCGCGCGUAGGUGGUUCGUUAAGUUGAAUGUGAAAGCCCCGGGCUCAACCUGGGAACUGCAUCCAAAACUGGCGAGCUAGAGUAGGGCAGAGGGUGGUGGAAUUUCCUGUGUAGCGGUGAAAUGCGUAGAUAUAGGAAGGAACACCAGUGGCGAAGGCGACCACCUGGGCUCAUACUGACACUGAGGUGCGAAAGCGUGGGGAGCAAACAGG
rnacentral:rRNA from 1 species